rnacentral:rRNA from 1 species
GACGAACGCUGGCGGCGUGCCUAAUACAUGCAAGUCGAACGCAGUGGGGACGGGUGAGUAACACGUGGGUACCCUCCCCUCCGAGGGGGUAACACUUGGAAACAGGUGCUAAACCGAUCCUGAUGGAGGGACCCGCGGUGCAUUAGCUAGUUGGUGAGGUAACGGCUCACCAAGGCCACGAUGCAUAGCCGGCAUGAGAGGGUGAGCGGCCACACUGGGACUGAGACACGGCCCAGACGCCUACGGGAGGCAGCAGUAGGGUAUCUUCGGCAAUGGACGAAAGUCUGACCGAGCCACGCCGCGUGAGUGAAGAAGGUUUUCGGAUCGUAAAACUCUGUUGUUUGAGAAGCGGUAUCUAACCAGAAAGCCACGGCUAACUACGUGCCAGCAGCCGCGGUAAUAC